UACGGAGGGGGUUAGCGUUGUUCGGAAUGACUGGGCGUAAAGCGCGCGUAGGCGGAUCAGGAAGUUGGGGGUGAAAUCCCGGGGCUCAACCCCGGAAUGGCCUUCAAAACUCCUGGUCUUGAGUUCGAGGGAGGUGAGUGGAAUUCCGAGUGUAGAGGUGAAAUUCGUAGAUAUUCGGAGGAACACCAGUGGCGAAGGCGGCUCACUGGCUCGACACUGACGCUGAGGUGCGAAAGCGUGGGGAGCAAAC
rnacentral:rRNA from 1 species